CAACGGAAAUUACUCUAGAGAUGGCAGUUAUUCCCUUUUGCACACCAAUAUUUUGCUAUUAUAUUUAUCUACUUUAACAAAAUUCAUUCUUAGCUCAUAUGAACAACAUGGUGUAUUAACUUAAGAAAUUAACAACACAAGUAGAAUAGAGAUGAAUAAGCUUGAAAUCACUUAAAGAACAAAAAUAAGAAUUCAAACCUAUGUUACUAAAUGUUAUUAAACCUUCAGGAAAGAAUUCAAUUUCCAAUCAAUUUAAAAAAAACAGAAUAAUGAGCCAAGAUUAACUCAUCAUUUUUUACUUCUAAAUCUCAACAAUUCAAUUUCACAUUAACAUUAAUACUUCAACUCUGUUUUAGCAUGCUCACAUACACCCAAUUACAUAAGACUUUUCAAGAGCAUAUUUUUCCUUUUUAUCAUGGAUUCUGCAAUAACUACUACUUAACAACAUAAAUUCAAGCAUGCUCUUCUCAACAGUAAUGAAUCUUGGGAACACAUGCAACAUCCAGACAUUACUCAACAUUUAUCAAGGCUUUCCAUACACAUUUGGCAAUCUAUACAAUGAGCUACCAAACUGAUAUUAUUACAUCAUUCCACAUUCAAAAUAAAAUAGAAAGAGACAUGAGAAAACUAAACUAAACUAAAUAGCUUUGAGCAGAUUUAAGAGAAUCAAAUUUCGAAUUCAAGACAUCCUUUAUUGAUUUCAAGUAGAAAUUAACAAAUUCCACACACUCAAACACAGUUGGUCAGUUUAGGUCCAAAAGAGUACCUGGAAGGGAACAAAAAAGAGGUGAAGAGUCGGCAGUAGCAGCAGUAGAAAUCAGCACCAGUAGAGCCAAUUUGAAUAAAAAGUUUAUGUGUAGCAAGCCCAGAAAAUGUUUGAUCGAACAGUAGACAUCACAACCUCAAACUAAACUUUCAAAAACUCAUCUCAGUCCAUUUUUAAGCCCAGAUGAUUAAAAUGUUCUUUCAGAGAUUAAAGAGUAACCAAAAAUGCAAAAAUGAUCAAUGAAACAGUAAAACAGUACAACCGUUUGAUUUUUCAGAUUAUUUCUCUUCAAUCCCCAUGUAAGAGUAAUUUUUGGAGUUACUAUAUUUUUAUGAAUUUUUCAGCUUUGAAAUC
rnacentral:lncRNA from 1 species